rnacentral:lncRNA from 1 species
CUGCUGUGUACAUCCUACUUUAUGACUUGCUGGGUCACCUAACACCCAGCUCAUGAUGAGCAGUUCAGGUUGCUUGGCAACUUGGUGGCCCAUAGUCAAAUGUUCAGUUUCCUGUCUCAAAGGGAGAAGAAUUGUCUGCAGAUGCUGGAAGACCCUUGCUCCAAAAUCCCAAAGAUCUCUUUUGUGAUUUACCUAGAGGGGCCUGCAACAAGCUCCAGACAGCAUCCCUACCUGCCACUGCUACCUCAAGUGAUACCAUCGGAUCUGCCGGGUUACUGGUCCAAGUGGUAGAGCAGUCUACACAGCAGCCUGGACUUGAGAGAUUUCUCCUGUUCUAGGCCUCACUCAAAGCUAGCAUCAGCUUUCUAAGUCAUUUGGUAUAUGGGCCAGGCUAACACAUCCAUAUGAGGAAUAUGCUGUCUCUAGAAUCCAAAUAGGCCCACUAAACAUGUGAGAGAAGCCACAUACAAUAACUUAUUCUUCACCUUAAAAGGAAUAUCUCUUCAUGCCUCACACCACUGGACUCCCAAGAAUUUCACUGAGAUAGAUUUGGUUAGAUUUACUUCUCAUCCUUUGAUACAUACAUGUGUGACCAACAAGUCCAAACUACUUGCUGCCUCUGCCUACUUUGUCAGCAUAAUGUCAUCAAUGUAGUGUACCAAUGCGAUGUUUUGUAGAAGAGACAGAUAAUCAAGAUCCCUUCUAACUAACUUAUGACACAGGUCAGAGCAUGGCGAUUACUAUAUCCUUGAGAUAAAGCUAUAAAGCUAUAUUAAUGGCCUUAGCAUCUGAAAGCAAAUUGCUUGUAGUGAUUCUUAUGAACAGGUACUGAGAAAAACACAUUUGCUAGAUCAAUAUAGCUGCAUACCAAGUACCAGGAGAUAGAUUAAUCUGAUCAAGUAAAGAUGCCACAUCUGGUACAGUAGCUGAAAUUGGAGUCACUACUUGACAGAGUUUUCCAUAGCCAACUUUUAUUCUCUGUGAUCCAUCUGUCUUCUGCACUGGCCAGAUAGGAGAUGUGGUGGGAACCACCACCCCUGCAUCUUUCAAGUCCUUGACAGUGGCACUAAUUUCUGCAGUUCCUCUAGGGAUGUGACCUUGUUUUUGACUCACAAUUUUCCUUGGCAGAGACAACUCUAAAGGGUUCCAUUUAGCCUUUCCAACCAUAAUAUCCCCAACUUAGGGUGAUUAGUGCCAACUCUGGGACUCAAUGUAAAAAUUCUGCCAACUUCUAAGAAUAUAUAUCUCAAAUAUACAUUCUCAGACUGGGGAAAUAACUUCAGGAUGAUUUGGGGGACUCACUGGACCUACUAUGAAUCAGACUUUGGCCAAAGCUCAAUUAAUCACUUGACCUUCACAAGCCCCUACUUUAACAGGAAGGCCACAAUGUUUCUUGAGUUCUCCAAGAAUCAGCAUCAAUUCAAAACCACUAUUUGAUAGACUCUGAAAAGUGAUUGUUUCCUUUCCCCCAGUGUAAGUUACCCUAUCAAAGGCCAUAGGUCCGUCUGAGGAAGAACUGGAGAAAGGGUAACAGUAAAACUCGUAGGUGUUUUACCAAGGGAAAACUAGAUAUUCAUUCCUUCACUCAAAGCAUUCUGGAUCUGCAAGCUGGCUCAAGUCUAGGAAGUUGAUUCAUGGGUUGAGAUUCCCUUUUGCCACCACCCAGUGUAGCCUUUCAUUUGAAAGACCAAACAGAAAUCCAGUAGACUUCUUAUCUAUUCCAUGCCUGGAAACACCCAUGAUUGAUUAGCUGGUACAAAGGUCUUCAUGAGUCAGGCACCAUAAAAUUCACUUUGCCUGUGCAGGCAGUUAUGGGUUGCCAUUAUCGACACUGCUUUGCCUGCACUGCCCAUUAGGAUAAAAACAAUCACCUUGCCUGUGGAGACUCAUUGCUAUCACCUGCUACUUUGGGGUCCAACUAAGCCCAUUGCAUUUCAUUCAUCCAACUGAGAAGCAGUGUCUCCAACCCUAAGGUACAGCACAAGGAAAGAGGCGCAACAAAGUUCUUCAGAUGUGUUAAUGCUCCCUCAUUGUUUUGUGUCUUCCAGGGUUAAUGCCAGUCAUGUCUCCUGGGCCUUCCCAUUGGAGAGGAUUAGGUUUUACACAGUAUACUCAUUCUAGCAUGGCAAUUUUCCUGAGCCUUAAAUUCCUUCAUCAUCAGGUAGUGGUGGCAUCUCCAACCCCUUUUCAGUAGACCAUCUUCUGACAACUGCUUUGGCCAACUGUUCAACAAACAUUUAAACCAUUCAAACAAUUCAAAUAAACCAUUGAUACCAUCUUAAACUCUGCGAGCUUAUUAUUGUAUUAAAUAUAAUAUAUUAAACCUAGAACCUCCACUCAAUGAGCUGUAUCAAAAAACUCACC